rnacentral:rRNA from 1 species
UACGUAGGUGACAAGCGUUGUCCGGAUUUACUGGGCGUAAAGAGCGCGCAGGCGGUCGUUCAAGUCGCGUGUGAAAGCCCCCGGCUCAACUGGGAGGGUCACGCGAUACUGAUCGACUCGAAGGCAGGAGAGGGUAGUGGAAUUCCCGGUGUAGUGGUGAAAUGCGUAGAUAUCGGGAGGAACACCAGUGGCGAAGGCGACUACCUGGCCUGUUCUUGACGCUGAGGCGCGAAAGCCUAGGGGAGCAACGGG